rnacentral:rRNA from 1 species
AUGGAAGCGCCCACAACAGAACACUGGGCGGCGGUGAAACAGGUGCCGAGGUACGUUGCAGGCACCCUGAACUUUGGAUGCAGAUACAAGAAAGGAGAAGUGGAACCUCAGCUGGUUGGGUACAGUGACGCAGACUUCGUCGGAGAUGUUGAUGACAGAAAGAGCACAUCCGGGACUGUGUUCACCUUCGGUGGAAGCGCGAUCAGUUGGCAAUCCCAGAAGCAGAAGGUGGUCGCUCUUUCAUCCUACGAGGCCGAGUACAUGGCGGCAACUGCAGCCGCGUGCACUGGCGUCUGGCUCCGGCGAAUGCUUGGCGAUCUACUAGGUGAUCCGGGAACGGCAACUCCACUUCUCAUUGACAACAAGUCGGCAAUCCAACUCUGCAAGAACCCUGUCUUCCACGACAGGACCAAGCACAUCGAGACGCGGUUUCAUUUCAUCCGCGAGUGCGUUCAAGAUGGGAGGAUAGCCGUCGACCACAUCCACACCGGCGAGCAGCUGGCAGAUAUCUUGACCAAGGCACUGCCUCGAGUGAAGUUUCAGGAGCUGCGGGCGAAGCUGGGCGUGAUCAACAUCAGCAACUGA